AGUGAACGCUGGCGGUAGGCCUAACACAUGCAAGUCGAACGGCAGCACAGUAAGAGCUUGCUCUUACGGGUGGCGAGUGGCGGACGGGUGAGGAAUACAUCGGAAUCUACUUUUUCGUGGGGGAUAACGUAGGGAAACUUACGCUAAUACCGCAUACGACCUACGGGUGAAAGCAGGGGAUCUUCGGACCUUGCGCGAUUGAAUGAGCCGAUGUCGGAUUAGCUAGUUGGCGGGGUAAAGGCCCACCAAGGCGACGAUCCGUAGCUGGUCUGAGAGGAUGAUCAGCCACACUGGAACUGAGACACGGGCCAGACUCCUACGGGAGGCAGCAGUGGGGAAUAUUUGACAAUGGGCGCAAGCCUGAUCCAGCCAUACCGCGUGGGUGAAGAAGGCCUUCGGGUUGUAAAGCCCUUUUGUUGGGAAAGAAAAGCAGCAGGUUAAUACCCCGCUGUUCUGACGGUACCCAAAGAAUAAGCACCGGCUAACUUCGUG
rnacentral:rRNA from 1 species